GUCCCCAACAGAGACAGUGCAGGGACAAUGGUGCGCUAGGCAUGAUCUUUUUCUUUGGAAGGAAACCCAUAAACCCUUAAUUCAACCCCCAUCCCUAAGAAACCUUCGUGAGGUGGAAGAGAAGAGUGGUCCAGGUCACAUCAGGUUAUGCACCGCGGCCGGGGACGCACUCUUGGCCUGGGGAUAGGGCAAGAACCUCCCAACAACGUUGGGCACACUUGAACACCCCUGAUACAGAAGGAUCAAGAAGGACCGGCCCGUCCCUACCCAUGGAGAUUUCCACCCCAAGCUGUCUGCAGGCUGGUGAGCAGGAGGUCUCAGCAAGCAUCCUGGAAAUGGAUGGCAGAAUCGGAGACGGCAAGUACAGAGCACAGAGACCAGUUUGGAAGCUGACAUCAGAGAAGAUAUAAUCGGAGCAGUGGCAAUGACAGAGGGAAUGGAAAAAGGAUGCACAAAUGAUGGCUACCAUCUGGGGAGCAAACGCUCUUUGCUUACUAUAUUGUCUCUCCUCAUCAUAAGAUAGGUGAUGGCCUUUGCCCCAUUUUAUGGAUGAGGAAAUUGAAGUCACUUGGAAGUGGAAGAGCCAGAACUGGAACCCUUUUCCACAUUCAUUAAAAAUCCUCAUUUCCCUUCUCAGCAUCACUCUGUGUCCACCCUACUUAGGAACCAAGAACAAGAAACAGGGGAGAGGCUUCCUAGAAGGUGGUUUAGUCCCCACUCCAUAGUUCUCUUCACCGGAAGGACUCCGGCCAGUAAUGAAGAAAGCAAGGGACAGGGUCAUUCGGGAUUCUCGGCUUGCAGGAUUGAAAUGACUGCAGAUGAUGUGAUAAGCCCAAGAAGUUCCUGGGGCUCCGAGGCAGAAGAGCAGACAAGUUGGGGUGCCCCGGAUAAAUCAACUGAAGUCAAGAGUCUUGAAUGGCCUGCCAAGGAGCACCUUACUGACAAGUGGCAGAGGCUGGACUGGACUCCUCAUCAUCUGACUUUGUUGCAAAUGAUACUAAGGGGCCCCAGAGCAACCCAGACAAGAGAAAGAGAACCAAAGACUUGAGAGAAAGCAGAAAUUGCUGUGAGCCAGCCUGCUGUAAUGAGGUCCCUGAGAGGGAUCUGAACCUGCUCAUUAUCUUCCGACUUUUCUUAGUGGUCAGGGAUGAUCAGCCUGUCUCUUCAAAAGGCUAAGAAAAACACAGAAAGUGACAAGCGGGGAUUGUAGGCAAUGGCUAGAAGCCUGGUGGAAUGUUAUUGCUGCUUCCGGGAAGAAGGAAAUCCUCAUCCUUUGUGUGAAGCUUUGUGUGAAGCCAGACCUCUGACAAUACAUUUCCUUCACCCCAGUGUUUUGGCACCAAGGGGGAGAAGGCUUUACUGCUUCUUAGCUCUCAGGAGAGAGAUGAAAUUUUAAUUCUUAGUUAUUGAUUGCCAAGGUGAAACAGAGCAUGUUAAGAUUAGGAUCUGCAUAUUCCAGAAUGAUUGGAGAGAUAAUAACUUCCUCAAAUUACUGUACCAGGAACUGAAACUAUGCGGUAGAAAAACAUCACACAGCCCCUAUGCAGAGUCUGUCAUUAACUGCAUUUGGAGAUAACUGAGGCUUCAGGAAUUUGAAUAAUUGGCCAAAGACCAAUUGCAAUUGGCAGAGCUGGGGAUUGAACCAAAGUGUGUUUGACUUCAAAGCCACUCAUUAACCACUAAGCUCAUCAGUUUUUCUUGGAGGCAAAGUGAUGUGAGGGUGACCUGAUUCAUCUCCCCAUUAUCUUUCCACUAGGACUUGCUUAUACUUUUUCAUUCCUCUGAAGUGUUCCCUACAUCUCAUUCUACCUGCAUGAACUCAACCCAUCCUCUAACAUCUAGUUUAACCCUAAGCCUCUCCAGGAAGCCUUGAAUCCAAAAUGAUCUCUUCCUUCUCCAAAGUCUUGUUACAACUGAAGAAUUCCCUGGGACUGUACUUUUUUUUUCAUUCAGUAAAUGUAGAAUUGAAUACUUUUUCAAAUAAAAUGCAUUAGAUACUUCUUAGAAAUGCUCUUUGUCUUAUGUAAAUAAAUCCAUAAAUUUGAACAAAUUUUCCUAUAACAGAUUCAGAGAGAUGAUUUUGAAUCAGGUCAGAAAUUUCUCCUCA